rnacentral:rRNA from 1 species
AUGGCCAAGCUCCUCGCCGUCCUGGCCCUCGUGGCCGCCGCCGCGCCGUUCCUCGGCGUCGCUGGCCAGGAGGGUGAGGGCGGGUCGGAGCUGCUGCCGUUCGCGGUGGGCGCGGCGCCGGAGGGGUGCGACGUCGGGCAGGGCGAGUGGGUGUACGACGAGGCGGCGGCGCCGGCGUACGAGGAGGCGGCGUGCCCCUACAUCCCGGCCGAGCUGACCUGCCAGGCGCACGGCCGCCCCGACAAGUCGUACCAGCACUGGCGGUGGCAGCCCCGCGGCUGCUCGCUCCCCAGCUUCAACGCGACGGUGAUGCUGGAGAUGCUGCGCGGGAAGCGGAUGCUGUUCGUGGGCGACGCGCUGAACCGGGCGCAGUACGUGUCGCUGCUCUGCCUCCUCCACCGCGCCAUGCCCGAGGGCUCAAGCUCCUUCGAGACCGUCGACGCCCUCAGCAUCUUCAGGGCCAAGGCCUACGACGCCACCAUCGAGUUCUACUGGGCGCCGCUCCUCGCCGAGUCCAACGCCGACGACGGCGUCGAGCACCAGCUCAACGACCGCGUCAUCCGCGGCGCCCCCAUGGACCGCCACUCCCGCUUCUGGAAGGGCGCCGACGUCCUCGUCUUCAACUCCUACCUCUGGUGGAUGACCGGAGACAAGAUCCAGAUUCUGAGGGGCGCCGACAACGACAUGAGCAAGGACAUCGUGGAGAUGGGGGCGGAGGAGGCCUACAGGCUGGUGCUGCACCAGGUGGUGCGCUGGCUGGACGGCAACGUGGACCCCAAGAAGUCCCGGGUCUUCUUCGUCACGGCGUCGUCCACGCACGCCAGCGGCCAGCUCUGGGGCGACGAGGCGGAGGGCAGCAACUGCCACGGCCAGACCAAGCCCAUCGCCGACGCGUCCUACUGGGGCAGCACGAGCAAGGCGAUGCUGCGGGUGACCGGCGAGGUGCUGGGCGCGUCCGCGAGGGUGCCGGUGGGCGUGGUGAAUGUCACGCAGAUGUCCGAGUACCGCCGGGACGCGCACACGCAGGUGUACCGGGAGCAGUGGGCGCCGCCGACCAAGGAGCAGCUCGCCGACCCCAAGAGCUACGCCGACUGCACCCACUGGUGCCUCCCCGGCGUGCCCGACGCCUGGAACGAGCUGCUCUACUGGAAGAUCUUCUUCCCCGCCAGCGACCAGGCGCUCUGA